UACAGAGACUGCAAGCGUUAUUCGGAUUCACUGGGCGUAAAGGGUGCGCAGGCGGCCGUGUGUGUGAGGCGUGAAAGCCCGGGGCUUAACCCCGGAAUUGCACCUCAAACUACACGGCUAGAGCAUUGGAGAGGGUAGCAGAAUCCACGGUGUAGCAGUGAAAUGCGUAGAUAUCGUGAGGAAUACCAGAGGCGAAGGCGGCUACCUGGACAAUUGCUGACGCUCAGGCACGAAAGCGUGGGGAGCAAAAGGG
rnacentral:rRNA from 1 species